AUUGAACGCUGGCGGCAUGCCUUACACAUGCAAGUCGAGCGGCAGCACGGGUGCUUGCACCUGGUGGCGAGUGGCGAACGGGUGAGUAAUACAUCGGAACAUGUCCUGUAGUGGGGGAUAGCCCGGCGAAAGCCGGAUUAAUACCGCAUACGAUCCACGGAUGAAAGCGGGGGACCUUCGGGCCUCGCGCUAUAGGGUUGGCCGAUGGCUGAUUAGCUAGUUGGUGGGGUAAAGGCCUACCAAGGCGACGAUCAGUAGCUGGUCUGAGAGGACGACCAGCCACACUGGGACUGAGACACGGCCCAGACUCCUACGGGAGGCAGCAGUGGGGAAUUUUGGACAAAGGGCGAAAGCCUGAUCCAGCAAUGCCGCGUGUGUGAAGAAGGCCUUCGGGUUGUAAAGCACUUUUGUCCGGAAAGAAAUCCUUGACUCUAAUACAGUCGGGGGAUGACGGUACCGGAAGAAUAAGCACCGGCUAACUACGUG
rnacentral:rRNA from 1 species